rnacentral:misc_RNA from 1 species
GAUGAAGAACGCAGCGAAAUGCGAUACGUAAUGUGAAUUGCAGAAUUCAGUGAAUCAUCGAAUCUUUGAACGCAUAUUGCGCUCUCUGGUAUUCCGGAGAGCAUGCUUGUUUGAGUAUCAGUAAACACCUCAACUUCCAUAUCUUUUUUGAAAUGGGAGUUGGACUUGAGUGAUCCCAACGCUUUUCCUCACCGAAAAGUGGCGGGUUACUUGAAAUGCAGGUGCAGCUGGACUUUUCUCUGAGCUAUAAGCAUAUCUAUUUAGUCUGCCUAAAAAACAGAUUAUUACCUUUGCUGCAGCUAACAUAAAGGAGAUUAGUUCUUGUGCUGACUGAUGCAGGAUUCACAAAGGCAGCUUCGGCCGACUUUGUAAACUCGAUCUCAAAUCAAGUAAGACUACCCGCUGAACUUAAGCAUAUCAAUAAGCGGAGGA